AUUGAACGCUGGCGGCAUGCCUUACACAUGCAAGUCGAACGGUAACGGGCCUUCGGGUGCCGUCGAGUGGCGAACGGGUGCGUAAUACACCGGAACGUGCCCGAUCGUGGGGGAUAACGAGGCGAAAGCUUUGCUAAUACCGCAUACGAUCUACGGGUGAAAGCAGGGGACCGCAAGGCCUUGCGCGGACGGAGCGGCCGAUGGCAGAUUAGGUAGUUGGUGGGAUAAAAGCUUACCAAGCCGACGAUUUGUAGCUGGUCUGAGAGGAUGAUCAGCCACACUGGGACUGAGACACGGCCCAGACUCCUACGGGAGGCAGCAGUGGGGAAUGUUGGACAAUGGGCGCAAGCCUGAUCCAGCCAUGCCGCGUGCAGGAUGAAGGCCUUCGGGUUGUAAACUGCUUUUGUACGGAACGAAAAGCCUUCUUUUAAUACAGGAGGGUCAUGACGGUACCGUAAGAAUAAGCACCGGCUAACUACGUG
rnacentral:rRNA from 1 species